rnacentral:rRNA from 1 species
GAUGAACGCUGGCGGCGUGCCUAAUACAUGCAAGUCGAGCGAACAGACGAGGAGCUUGCUCCUCUGACGUUAGCGGCGGACGGGUGAGUAACACGUGGAUAACCUACCUAUAAGACUGGGAUAACUUCGGGAAACCGGAGCUAAUACCGGAUAAUAUAUUGAACCGCAUGGUUCAAUAGUGAAAGACGGUUUUGCUGUCACUUAUAGAUGGAUCCGCGCCGCAUUAGCUAGUUGGUAAGGUAACGGCUUACCAAGGCAACGAUGCGUAGCCGACCUGAGAGGGUGAUCGGCCACACUGGAACUGAGACACGGUCCAGACUCCUACGGGAGGCAGCAGUAGGGAAUCUUCCGCAAUGGGCGAAAGCCUGACGGAGCAACGCCGCGUGAGUGAUGAAGGUCUUCGGAUCGUAAAACUCUGUUAUUAGGGAAGAACAAAUGUGUAAGUAACUAUGCACGUCUUGACGGUACCUAAUCAGAAGGCCACGGCUAACUACG